rnacentral:rRNA from 1 species
CCUACGGGGGGCAGCAGUCGAGAAUCAUUCACAAUGGGGGAAACCCUGAUGGAGCGACGCCGCGUGGGGGAAUGAAGGUCUUCGGAUCGUAAACCUCUGUUAUGUGGGAGCAAAUUAAAAAGAUAGUACCACAAGAGGAAGAGACGGCUAACUCUGUGCCAGUAGCCGCGGUAAUACAGAGGGCUCAAGAGUUGUUCGGCAUCACUGGGCGUAAAGUGUGCGUAGGCAGUUUCGUAAGUCGUGUGUGAAAAGCCCGGGCUCAACCCGCGGACGGCACAUGAUACUGCGAGACUAGAGUAGGAGAGGGGUAUCCGGAAUUCUCGGUGUAGCAGUGAAAUGCGUAGAUAUCGAGAGGAACACUCGUUGCGAAGGCGGGUUCCUGGACAUUAACUGACGCUGAGGCACGAAGGCCAGGGGAGCGAAAGGGAUUAGAUACCCCUGUAGUC